rnacentral:rRNA from 1 species
UACGUAGGGAGCAAGCGUUGUCCGGAAUCAUUGGGCGUAAAGCGCGUGUAGGCGGUUACAUAAGUCUGUUGUGAAAGUCGGAGGCUCAACCUUCGAAAGCCGAUGGAUACUGUGUGACUUGAGUACGGAAGAGGAGAAUGGAAUUCCUGGUGUAGCGGUGAAAUGCGCAGAUAUCAGGAAGAACACCCGUGGCGAAGGCGGUUCUCUGGGACGGUACUGACGCUGAGACGCGAAAGCGUGGGGAGCGAACAGG